rnacentral:lncRNA from 1 species
GCCACUCCAUUUUGCUGUGGAGUAUAAGGACAGCUUGUUUGAUGUAGAAUCCCAUGUUGUGAUAGGUGUUGCUUGAAUGCAUUGUUGAGAUGAGGAAGUCAUUAUGGUAAGGAGAAGAGGAGUUGGGCAAGUAAUGGAAGAGUGUACGGCCUAUGUACGGAUAGGGCAUGUACGGAUAGAUCAUGUACGGAUAAAGUCAGUUUAAAGGUUGUGCAAAGUUAGGGCAUGGCAUGUACGGAUAGGGCAUGACCGUACAGCUUAGGAAACAUGAAGGAAGAAGGAGUUGGAUGAGUGAAGCCUCUAGAGUACACGGAAGGUUUAAGACUGAUCAGACCGUUUAGAGAUAAGGGCGGGACGAGCCUUAUCCAUUCAGUCUUUGGACAGGCUGUAAAGGCAAAGCGAAAGCAUGUGAGCCUUACCGUCCGUUGAAUUCAAAAGAAGCGCUCCCUCCUUGACUUGACUUCACAUGCUUAUGACUAGUGCCAUUUCUCCUUACUUGUAAACCCUAAUGUAUCUCCUAUAAGUAUUGUAAUCCCAUCUCAUAAUAAGAUUAGACAGUUCUGAUUAUUCUUAGCCUCCAUGGCGUUUCUCUUAGUCUCUUGAUCUAAUCUCUUACUCUCUACACUCGUUUCGUCUCUAAUCUCUCUCAAAUCUAUUCUAAACACUCAGAUUACUCUUCAUUUCUC